CGCGCGCACCGUUUUACAUCCGGGUCCAGCGACUCCUCCCUCUCCCGCCGCCGCUCCGGACGCUUGGGGGCCGCCCCCCCGCCGGCUGGCCGGCGCCGGGUGCUCCAAUGAGAGCGGCUGCCUCUGCCUGCCUCGCGGAGCCCGAGGCCCGGCCCUGCGUGCGCGAGUCCGGCAGCGGGCGAGGAUGAUGCCGGCUCUGGCCGCCCAGAGGCGGGGAUGGCGCUGCCUCAACCGGCUGUACCUGCGGUGCCCGGCGGCGCAGCUCAGCCGGGUCUGCCACGGAUGGCAAGGCUCAAUGAAAUGUGGAAGUCUCUCUCACAUACUGCCAUGCAGUCGUCUACCAGUCCAGUCACUGAGUCAAGUGAGAGUUUACACCUCUGAUGGUCAGAAAAAAGGCCCUGUACCAGGCCCUGAAGGAGCUGUGCACAAACCUGGAACAGCACGGGAUACCAGCAGUGCAGGCCCAAAACCACUUUUAUUGCAAGAGCCAAUCCAAGUAAAAGUUAAAGCAGUUCUUAAAAAGAGAGAGUAUGGACCAAAGUACACACAAAAUAAUUUCAUCACUGGUGUCAGAGCAAUAAAUGAGUUCUGUCUUAAAUCCAGUGAUCUAGAACAGCUGAGGAAAAUCAGACGACGAAGUCCCCAUGAUGAUACUGAAGCUUUCACUGUAUUUUUGAGAUCAGAUGUAGAGGCAAAAUCUCUAGAAGUUUGGGGAAGCCCGGAGGCUCUUGCUAGAGAGAGAAAACGGCGUAAAGAAGCAGAGAUAGAAUACAGAGAAAAUCUGUUUAGAAACCAAAAGCUGUUAAAGGAGUACAAAGAUUUUCUUGGGGAUACUAAGCCACGCUCCAGCACAGCCGGUAUGUUGCUCAAAGGACCAGGAAAGGUGGUGAUGGUUGCUAUUUGCAUAAAUGGGUUGAAUUUUUUCUUUAAACUACUCGCUUGGGUUUACACGGGUUCUGCAAGCAUGUUUUCAGAAGCUAUACAUUCUUUAGCAGACACUUGCAACCAGGCUUUGCUAGCAUUGGGCAUCAGUCAGUCUGCAAGGACACCAGACCCUAGUCAUCCGUAUGGCUUCACAAAUAUGCGCUAUAUUGCCUCCCUAAUUAGUGGGGUCGGCAUUUUCAUGAUGGGUGCAGGACUUUCCUGGUAUCAUGGAAUCAUGGGUUUACUUCAUCCUCAGCCCAUGGAAUCUCUUCUUUGGGCUUAUUGUAUCUUAGCAGGAUCACUGGUGUCUGAAGGAGCUACCCUUCUUGUUGCUAUAAAUGAAAUUCGAAGGAGUGCCCGGGCCAAGGGUCUAUCAUUUUAUCAAUAUGUCAGGAUGAGUCGUGAUCCCAGUACAAAUGUGGUGUUGUUGGAGGAUGCUGCAGCAGUUUUGGGUGUGACGUUAGCUGCUACUUGCAUGGGUCUGACUUCUUUAACAGGCAACCCUUACUAUGACAGCCUGGGAUCUCUAGGUGUGGGAACUUUGUUGGGAGCUGUAUCAGCUUUUCUCAUCUACACCAAUACAGAAGCAUUGCUGGGACGAUCCAUUAAUCCUGAGCAAUUACAGCGACUUACUGAGUUACUGGAGAGUGACCCCGUCGUUAGAGCAAUUCAUGAUGUUAAAGCCACAGACAUGGGAUUGAGCAAAGUGAGAUUCAAGGCAGAAGUAGACUUUGAUGGACGGGUUGUGACUCGUUCUUACCUGGAAAAGCAAGACAUUGAACAGCUGCUACAAGAAAUUCAGCAGGUGAAAACUCUUGAGGAAUUAGAAGCCUUCAUGCUUAAACAUGGAGAGAAUAUCAUUGACACACUGGGAGCUGAAGUAGACCGGCUUGAAAAGGAGCUAAAGCAACGCAAUCCUGAUGUUCGACAUGUAGAUUUGGAAAUAUUGUAGAUUUGACAGAAGAAAUCCGUGGAGUACUUUCUUUUGGAAACAAGUUUUGCACAGAGAUGGAACAGCUAUUGAAACUGCAGUCACUUCAAUACCAUACCUCAUUUACUUCAUGCUGUAGGCUUCCUGAACUGUUGUUACUGAAUCAGUUUCCAGAACAGCUUUAGAUUCAGAGUCAACAACUUUGUAUAGAAGAUCAGUUCAACAAAAGCUACUUAGCAUAAUUUCUACAUGAGACUGUUGGAGAACUAUGAAAAAGUGAGCUGGAUUCUGUUGCUUCUGUCUUCAACAAGAUUGACUAAAUUCCAAUUGUUUACAUCUUUGCAAUCGCUUUGGAGGCUGUAGGUUUGCACAGGCCUCAUUAAGAAUCUAAUUUUAUUUGCAAAGACACUUUCAUUGGUGGCAAUGCAUGAGGAAAGACCCCAGUUUGGUACUGAGAGCCCAGCAUGGGUUUUCAUGGCUUGCAUUCAGUUAAAACGUCUUCUACAUUGAGCAUGACUGAUAACAGAAAUUGGCCUAAUAAACUUGGUACUUCGAGAAGGGAAUCACACUUUAAAGUGGCAGCAAUUUAAAAUAUAUGUGCAGAUUGCUGUUAAUAUUUUUUUAGUGAAAACUGUUACUUGGAUUUAAGCUACAGUAUUUUCAUGGUCUAAAGAAUGGGUUGAACUAGUUCCAGGAUUUGGUUUAGCCUCGUUACAGUACUCUGGACGGAAGAUUUUUGAGAUAGUUUCUGUGAUAGGAUAUUUUGGAUUAAAGUAAAUUUGCAAAGUACCGAGGAAUUGGGUGUUUUCUUCAUGAACUAUAGAUGUGACACCUUAACAUGUCCCUUAAUAUUACCUCUGAUUUGAAAGAGUGGUAAAAUCAAUGGAGCAAGGAAUCCGCUAAAAUUAAAAUGUUUAUUCUAGGAUUUUUUUUCAAUAAUUUUUCCUCUAUUGUCUCUUAAAGCCAUGGAAUAUAUUUAUUUUUAGAGAUUCUGUUGCCCUUACAGCCUUUAUUUUGCAAAACAAGAUUCAGACAACUCUAUCCAUUUAUUUUGUGGGAAAUACAUUCUCUUUAGUUGCAUGAUGCUUCAUAAUUCAAUCUGGUUAACAUUAAGGUAAUGCUGAUUGACAGGAUAUAUUUUGAGGAAAGAGUCUAACCACUGCAACCACUGAGGGCUCACAGUUUUACGGUCUCAUUGGAUUCCUCUUUAUUCUUGGACUUCUAUGUAGACUUCCUGAAUACUUUGUUUUCUGAUGCUGGACAUGAGAUUGUAUCCUUUCCCCUUCAGAUGGGACCUUCACUAUGGUUAUCUAUAGUUGUAAUCUCAAGGCUUUGUUGGGGCUAAUCCAACAAAGCUCUACUUGGGGCUAAUCUUGAAGGCUAUCCAGAAACUUCAGCUGGUACAAUAUAUGUGCCGCGCCUCACAGUUGAGUAGGGCAGACUGGCAGGAGUAUAUUGUACUUAUGCGCUGAACUUCAGAUUGACUCCCAGUUCACAGUGGAAUUUAAUUCAAGAUGCUGGUCACUAUCUAUUAAGCCCUAAAUGGUGUAAGCCUCGGUUGUCUGAUAUUGUUCCACCUGGGCUCAACAUAAGCUCUUCAGCUUUUUCUGUCGCAAGGGUUAAGGUCACAGGACCCCGACGUUCUCAGUGGUUGUCCACCUCUUCAAUACUCACACAUGCUAGAAAAGUAUGUGGACUGCAUUCACAUUUGGAAUGUGACUUAGAUUAGUUUUCUGCUGACUGAAGGUCUGGGAUCUCUUGGCAUUUCAUCCUACUAGCAAGUUUGGUUCUGGUUUUUGUGAGAGAAUACGAUAAAUCUAACCUUUUGGAAGUGUGGCAAAACAUACUGUGAUGGGUGCACCAAAUCCAUGUAAGUCCCAAAAAUAGAGGAUAUUAUCAUCUUUGUAUAUGGCAGAAAGUUUGUCAUUUAUUUGAAAUUUCAUUUAAAUUAUCUUGUUCAUUCAUAAUUUGGAUUGAGGCAACUUUACAACAAAUGGAUGCACGGGAAUUUAUUGGGAUGACUUUGGGUUUGAUAGAAAAAUCUUUCUUGUGAUAACUUAUUCUCAUGGCAGUCAGGCCUAGCAGAAUAGAACGAUCAAUACUAGAGAGUACUGAUACCUGUGGUAAAACUAAAAAUGGCCUAUAAUUGCCCCAAAGUUUAUAUUGCUGAGGUGAGUUUAAAAUGAAAAUAUCAUUCUGUACCUUUAUUGCUGCGUACUAUGUUUUUGUGUUUUCUGUGUUUGUACUUUCUGAGUAUCGAGAAACCAACAGGUGAAUUGGAAUGAUAAUUCAUGUAAUUGGGCAUGUUGAGGCAUACUGAAAGAUUUUCCAGAAAGGGAGGAAUGCACCAUCAUCUUUUAAAUAGGUUAUUUUCCCACUGUUUAGUAAGGCAAAUAGAUAUUUAAUAGUUUAGGCUGUUUCACAUACUAAAAUAGAUGGAAAAAGAAUAUCAGUUCACUAUGGGUUAGAAUAGGGGUCUCAAACUCAAAUGACCACGAGGGCCACAUGAGGGUUAGUUCAUUGGCCCGAGGGCUGCAUCACUGACACCCCCCUCCACCCCUUCCAUGAG